ensembl:lncRNA
CUUUUAUUCAGCAACUGUCAGAGGGUGACAUAAGCAUCCUGCAGGAGCUCUAAUUUGCUUGGACAACUUGACAGCCUAUUUGAGAAGAAUUGAAAGAAAUAGAUUUUUAUGUCCUAAAAUGUCCUAAGCACCCAAACAAGAGAAAAAUGUACCAUGCUUCCGCAGACAUUAAAUCUCUGUUAAGGAUGAAGAGCUGGCCUCCUCUUGGUUGGGUACUGUAUACAUACUCUUAAAUUCAGUGAACUGCAGAGCUGGUGUCACAUCAGAAGAGCAUGAAGGCAAACACAGACCCAAGCAUCCUUGUCUCUGGGCUCUGCUGCAGUUCUGCAAGUCGUAGCUGUUCUGCUGCUUGUGCUCAGCUGCUCCUCACAGAGGUUGCUGCCCUAAAGACAGAGAUAGAAGACAUGAGAGACAGGCAGGAUGGAAAAGGAACAAAGUGAGUACAGCCUUCAUGGAAACAAUUGCUCAUGUGCGCCAUACAUGAGCUAUGGCAUAAAGUGAGUGAAUCAGAUUUUGCCUUGCCAUAUUAUACUUCACCGAGAAGCAUUGCAUGCUACAAAAUGUGGCCUUGGAGGAAACAGAGUACAUUGGUUCAUCGUAACAGAGCAGCUGGGGCGUGCAAUGAGAAGCAAAACGAAUUAGAAAGUUCUGCUAAGGACCAAGAGUGGCUCUGGCUCCUGCUGUCUGUCGCCUCCAGGAAGAGUAUCUCCAUGCUCUGCAAGAUGAUUUAGGAUGCAGUAUUUGCUAUGGUCCCAUUUUACAGGCACAGAAUGAAGCAAAACUGAGACCAGUCCCUAAGGAGGAUACAGCUGCAAGAAAUUGAAUAGCACAUCAGUGAUGUUAGUCUUUCUCAGCUGAGCUGGAGUUUCUUUGAAAAUGCCCACAUCUGAAAUCUGAAAUCAAUUCCCACCUGCCUCCAAGAGAGGACACUGCUUUUGAACACAGACUGUCCCAUCCCUUCCAACGCAGUGUGUGCACGGCAGUCAAUCUGAUAGAGAGGAAUGCUGGAUGCCUUUCUUCUCAGCUUCAGUCACUGCUGGGUUUGAAGCUACUACAGGAAUGAUACGAAGUGAUGCUGCUGAUGUUCUUGUUCUCUUACUCUAGUGCAGAUCUUAGCAAGCUGCCUGCAUUGCCAUUCUCACAUGGCCUUGAUGAGGAGCUGGAUACUCCUUUCUGUUUUAAAAUUUCAACUUUGAUUAACUUUAAACAUACUUGAACUGAGAUGCUUGUGUGGGUUCUCAAUAACAUAACGUGUUAUUGACAACUGCCCACAGGAGACCUGCUUCAAGAGCUCCUGUCUCUGGAUGAUUUGUGCAUCACUUAUAGGGAGCUCCAGGUGAAUAAAUCCUGACAUUAAAUGCUUUGUCUUGGUGAAUGUGAUCUACUGUGAAGCUUCCAUAGUGGCUGAGGAAAUGCUUUACCUUUUCAGUCUCUUCUAAGGCCGUGAAAGCAACUUAAAAG